rnacentral:lncRNA from 12 species
UCUUGGGCAUGGGGGUGGCACACCGGAGGAGCUGGAGGCAGCAGCACCUUCUGGCAGAGCUGAUGUGGAGCUGAGCUGCUGUGAAGGGGGAUUCUGGCAGCCCUGUCCCAGUACAGCCAGUCUUGGGUAUGGGGGUGGCACACCAUGCCCCAGUACAGCCAGUCUUGGGCAUGGGGGUGGCACACCGUGGGGCAAUUUCCUCCCCAGGGAGUGCCCAGGGCCCUGGUCCUGCAGGUGUGCUUGUCUAGGAAGAGCUGUGGUGCCGAGUGAAGGAGCUUUAGGAGAAGUGAGCAGGCUGCACAACAUCAGUUUUAUGGGAGAUGGACAUGCUUUCCUCUGGGACUCGUCAGCUUGGAGUGCCUCAGCCCCACCUGCAGCAGAGAAGCAGGCAGUGCCCACCUCCACCAUCAAGGCACAAAAACCCAUGGUCACCUCACUCCCUUCAGUUCACCCCUUUGGAUAUGGAUCUAAAGAGCAGAGUGCUGCUCUUCCUUCCAGAAAACUUCUUCCAUCGCAGCCGGGAGAGCUAAGAGGGAAGCAGGGAGAGAGUGCAGCCCGUCUCUGCAAACGAAGUACACGAAGGCAAGAGAACAAAACCCAAAACCGGGAGGCCUACAGGGAAGCUGGAGACAGACUCUUCUUCAGAGGAACACGCAGAUGCUCUGCUGGUUUUUGGCUCUGUGGUGCUUUGGAGACCCAGGUGCUGCUCCCUGCCUGUCUUUUGACCAGUCAGUCUGACCCACGGAUGCAAAGGUAGACUGGAACAUGUGUUCCACUAUGUGGUUUCCUGGAGGAAAGGAAGCUGGAAGAGGAAGAACAUCUCAACUCCAUCUCUGUGAUGGCAAGAUACGCUUUGCAAUGCGGGGAGGAAAAGAAGGGAGCAACCACUGAGGGCAUUUAAAUACAAGAUACGCUUUGCAAUGCGGGGAGGAAAAGAAGGGAGCAGCCACUGAGGGGAUUUAAAUCCCAGAGACUGGAGCUGGGAGUCCCAUCCCAUAAACAUUACCUGAAUGAUGUCACUGCAUGCAGCUGGUUGGAAGUCGGUUCCAUUAACAGCAGUUGUUCAAACCGGAGCAGAUCCAUGUCUGAAACAGCUUUUAUCCUCCCCAAAAAUCAAUCAGCGUGCCAGUUCCAUCACUGCGGGACAGGAGGGAUGCUCAGGUUGAUCUGCUGGUCCCUACAGGAACUCUGGCCCACAUCAGGAACACCCUGGGGAAAAGCCAGGCGUGUUUACGGGAAUCUCGGAGUCCUUGGCAUCAAAAUAAACUUGAGCAAAGUGUUGGCCGUCAUCGCUGGCAUUGCAGACAGGGACUGUGCCUCGAAAUAGAGCUUGGCAGGGCUCACACCGAUGAUGGCUCACUGGAGAAGGCGGACAGGGACUGUGCCUCGAAAUAGAGCUUGGCAGAGCUCACACCGAUGAUGGCUCGCUGGAGAAGGCGGGGCAUCAAAAUAAACUUGAGCAAAGUGUUGGCCGUCAUCGCUGGCAUUGCAGACAGGGACUGUGCCUCGAAAUAGAGCUUGGCAGGGCUCACACCGAUGAUGGCUCACUGGAGAAGGCGGAUUUACUUUUCCAGCCCGUGACAUUUCAUAAACACGUUCUGUUUGUUGGAGCUGCAGAACCUCACCAGAUCAAACCCAGCAGUAAUCUGCUGCAAUCACCUCCCAGACUUUUGUCUGCAGUGUGUACACAUCCAAUCGCUGCAGUUUGGGUUUGUCCUGGGACACUUAUCCCUUUGUGUUUGUCCACGAGCACGUGGGAACAGCCCCACAAAUCCUCCAGAUGAUGAUUUAUUUUGUUUUAUCUGGUCCUGAGAACUCCAUUGAGCUUUGAUGCAGCCUUUGACUUAGGGGGUUGAUCCACCACCUCCUUCCUGACCCAUUGUGCCUUGGAUUCAUUCCUGGAAGGGAAGCUUGGAAGUGCACAUCCCACAACCACUGUGACACCAGGCUGCACAGAAAUCUCUCAGUCUGAAGUAGGCCACAGAGGGGUUUUAAAUCCAGACUGGUGUUUGGAACCCUUGAGGAAUGGCAUGAGGGGAGUCCCACAGAGAUAGCUUGACCCGCGAGGGCUGAGCAUCCUCAGGCAUCUCCAGUCAGGUCAGUGUUCAUCUUUAUUCUGUAUGGGGAAUCGGGAGCGCUGUGGGGCUGAGGGUGCGGGGACUCGGGAGCGCUGUGGGACAGGCGCUGUGGGGACUCGAGAGCGCUGUGGGGCUGAGGGUGUCACAGCGCCGUCACCCCACCGCCAUCGCCUCAGAACGCGCGCGCGUGCUCGUCACGGUUGCCAGGGCCCGCAGCAGUGGGCGGGGCGGAGGCAGAACUCUCCUGGCCAAUCAGAACAGACCCGGCCUCGGUCGCUGGCCAAUCGCCGCCGGUAAACAACACGCCCCUCCGCGAGGCGGGGAGAGGGCGGGGCGAGAGGCGCCG